UUAUUUGCGAAAAUGAAAAAGCAGCAACAGGAAAAUAACAAAAAGCACGCGCUGUUCGAGCGCGUGCUUUUUGUUA
rnacentral:sRNA from 1 species